rnacentral:rRNA from 1 species
GAUGAACGCUGGCGGCGUGCCUAAUACAUGCAAGUCGAGCGAACGGACGAGAAGCUUGCUUCUCUGAUGUUAGCGGCGGACGGGUGAGUAACACGUGGAUAACCUACCUAUAAGACUGGGAUAACUUCGGGAAACCGGAGCUAAUACCGGCUAAUAUUUUGAACCGCAUGGUUCAAAAGUUAAAGACGGUCUUGCUGUCACUUAUAGAUGGAUCCGCGCUGCAUUAGCUAGUUGGUAAGGUAACGGCUUACCAAGGCAACGAUGCAUAGCCGACCUGAGAGGGUGAUCAGCCACACUGGAACUGAGACACGGUCCAGACUCCUACGGGAGGCAGCAGUAGGGAAUAUUCCGCAAUGGGCGAAAGCCUGACCGAGCAAUGCCGCGUGAGUGAUGAAGGUCUUCGGAUUGUAAAACCCUGUUGUUAGGGAAGAACAGAAGUAGAAUAAUACGCCCACAUUCUGACGGUACCUAAACAGAAAGCACCGGCUAACUUCGUG